rnacentral:rRNA from 1 species
UAAUACGAAGGACCCGAGCGUUAUCCGGAUUUAUUGGGUUUAAAGGGUGCGUAGGCGGACAUGCAAGUCAGUGGUGAAAUCUCCCUGCUUAACAGGGAAACUGCCAUUGAAACUAUGUGUCUUGAGUACAUUUGAGGCGGGCGGAAUGUGUCAUGUAGAGGUGAAAUUCUUAGAUAUGACACAGAACACCAAUUGCGAAGGCAGCUCGCUAAACUGUAACUGACGCUGAGGCACGAAAGUGUGGGUAGCAAACAGGAUUAGAUACCCUGGUAGUCCACACCCUAAACGAUGAUUACUCGAUGUGUGCGAUACACAGCACGCGUCUAAGCGAAAGCAUUAAGUAAUCCACCUGGGAAGUACGUCCGCAAGGAUG